AUGCAAGUCGAACGGCAGCGCGGACUUCGGUCUGGCGGCGAGUGGCGAACGGGUGAGUAAUGUAUCGGAACGUGCCCAGUAGCGGGGGAUAACUACUCGAAAGAGUAGCUAAUACCGCAUACGCCCUACGGGGGAAAGGGGGGGAUCGCAAGACCUCUCACUAUUGGAGCGGCCGAUAUCGGAUUAGCUAGUUGGUGAGGUAAAGGCUCACCAAGGCGACGAUCCGUAGCUGGUUUGAGAGGACGACCAGCCACACUGGGACUGAGACACGGCCCAGACUCCUACGGGAGGCAGCAGUGGGGAAUUUUGGACAAUGGGGGAAACCCUGAUCCAGCCAUUCCGCGUGUGCGAUGAAGGCCUUCGGGUUGUAAAGCACUUUUGGCAGGAAAGAAAUCGCAUCAAUUAAUACUUGGUGUGGAUGACGGUACCUGCAGAAUAAGCACCGGCUAACUACGUGCCAGCAGCCGCGGUAAUACGUAGGGUGCAAGCGUUAAUCGGAAUUACUGGGCGUAAAGCGUGCGCAGGCGGUUCGGAAAGAGAGGUGUGAAAUCCCAGGGCUCAACCUUGGAACUGCACUUUUAACUACCGAGCUAGAGUAUGUCAGAGGGGGGUGGAAUUCCGCGUGUAGCAGUGAAAUGCGUAGAUAUGCGGAGGAACACCGAUGGCGAAGGCAG
rnacentral:rRNA from 1 species